rnacentral:lncRNA from 1 species
AAAAACAAAAUCCCCAGCAAUAAGCAGCAGAUCCCCAGUUGAAGUUACUCUUGGAUCCCCACAGUGUGCAAAUUUCUACAGUUCUUCGGUAUUCAAUCCCUGUUUACCCUGAAAGUCUGACAGCUGUUGCUCUCAUCCGUUCGGGUUCCCAGUUGAUUGAAUAGGGGCAGCUGUAGCACCUCAAAUUUGCACCUCCCAUUU